rnacentral:rRNA from 1 species
CCUACGGGAGGCAGCAGUAAGGAAUAUUGGACAAUGGUCGCAAGACUGAUCCAGCCAUGCCGCGUGAAGGAUGAAGGCCCUAUGGGUUGUAAACUUCUUUUGUAUGGGAAAAAACCCUUCUACGUGUAGAAGGCUGAUUGUACCAUAAGAAUAAGGAUCGGCUAACUCCGUGCCAGCAGCCGCGGUAAUACGGAGGAUCCAAGCGUUAUCCGGAUUCAUUGGGUUUAAAGGGUGCGUAGGCGGAAUGAUAAGUCAGUGGUGAAAUCCUGCAGCUUAACUGCAGAACUGCCAUUGAUACUGUCAAUCUUGAGUACAUUUGAUGUGGGCGGAAUGUGUCAUGUAGCGGUGAAAUGCUUAGAUAUGACACAGAACACCGAUUGCGAAGGCAGCUCACAAAACUGUAACUGACGCUGAGGCACGAAAGCGUGGGUAUCAAACAGGAUUAGAUACCCUGGUAGUCCACGCUGUAAACUAUGAUUACUCGAUGUUUGCGAUACACUGUAAGCGUCUAAGCGAAAGCGAUAAGUAAUCCACCUGGGGAGUACGCUCGCAAGAGUGAAACUCAAAGGAAUUGACGGCGNGAGAGNGCGACGGACGACGAGAGGGAGGAGG